AGAGUUUGAUCAUGGCUCAGGACGAACGCUGGCGGCGUGCUUAACACAUGCAAGUCGUACGAGAACGAGAUAGCAAUAUCUCUAGUAAAGUGGCGCACGGGUGAGUAACACGUAAGUAACCUGCCUUUAGGUUUGGGAUAACCUCGAGAAAUCGAAGCUAAUACCGGAUGAUGCAGCGGAUCCGCAUGGAUAUGUUGUUAAAAUCUAUAUGGUGCCUAUAGAUGGGCUUGCGUCCGAUUAGCUAGUUGGUAAGGUAAUGGCUUACCAAGGCUACGAUCGGUAGCUGGUCUGAGAGGAUGAUCAGCCACACUGGAACUGAGACACGGUCCAGACUCCUACGGGAGGCAGCAGUGAGGAAUAUUGGGCAAUGCCCGGAAGGGUGACCCAGCAACGCCGCGUGGAGGAUGAAUGCCGUAAGGUUGUAAACUCCUGUUAGAGGGGAAGAACAAUUUCGAUCGAAUCGGAACUUGACUGUACCCUCAGAGAAAGCCCCGGCUAACUACGUGCCAGCAGCCGCGGUAAUACGUAGGGGGCUAGCGUUGUCCGGAUUUACUGGGUGUAAAGGGCGCGCAGGUGGGUUUGCAAGUCAGAGGUGAAAUCUCACGGCUUAACCGUGAAACUGCCUUUGAUACUGUAGAUCUUGAGUGCGGAAGAGAGAGACGGAAUUCCAGGUGUAGUGGUGAAAUACGUAGAUAUCUGGAAGAACACCAGUUGCGAAGGCGGUCUCUUGGUCCGACACUGACACUCAGGCGCGAAAGCGUGGGGAGCAAACAGGAUUAGAUACCCUAGUAGUCC
rnacentral:rRNA from 1 species